AGCUUCGUUUGAUCCUAAGAUUUCUCUGUCUUCUUCUCUGAAUUUCAUUUUCACUGAACUUUCCUAUGCAAUGCUGUGCAAUUCACUUCGUUGUUCUUCUGAUCGAUCACUUCGGAGGAUUUCAAUUGAGCUAAUUGGUUAACGAAGCAGGCGUGGUUUCAGAGGUCGCGUUUUGUUUUCUGUUUUGAGAGUAACUUUUGCGUACUCAUUGCGGAAGCUUCACCACUCUGGAUGAUUUUUUUUUUUUUUUUCUUUUUGUGAUUGUGUGAAAUCGUUGUUCUCAUAUUAUGUUCUAGGUUGAUGGUUUUGACAAAAUGAAGUGAUUAGUGAGUCCAUUUUUCGGAGAACUUCUUGUUUGCUACCACGAAUUUCCUUCAAGCCUUUCAAACAUAUGAUAUCUAACCUGUUCUUCAUUAUAUGGAUCUUGCUCUGGUCGUUCUCCGAUUUCUGGAAUAGUUGUGCUUGUUAUGCUUCCUGGUGAUCUUUUUGUUCAUAGUCGAGCCAUUGAAUUUCUCCGCUUACUGAUUUCGGUAAACCAAAAUCUCAGGAAAAUGAGGAGAGAUUUUGGUUUGGAUUUUCUAAUUGGGGCGUACUGUUGAUUCUGUAGCUCAUAUUCAUACAUGAUUUUAUUCUCAUGCAUCCUCCGAAUCAAAUUCUUCUAAGCAGAUGCUGAUCGAUUGAACAGCGGUUAGAAGAUGGGAAAAUCACGCCGACGGGAACACCCUCAGGAGGAGGAAUUUGAAGCAUGGCAAGCUGCAAGGUUUAGGGAGUGUUCAAGGGUUAUUGAAAUUAGUAGCAUGAAUAGACUGUCACUUGCUCAGGAAAACCUUGUCAAGAAGAUGAUGGCACUAAAUGCAAACGAGUUUGCAUUUAGUGCCAACUGUUGUCAUGAACUCUGGAGAGCGCUACCAACUGUAACUAUAAACUUAGAAGACAGCUGAAUCAACUUGAUUCGGGUGAUAUUGAGGACAAAGUGGAACAGCAGCCUGCUGAGUCUGAAGUCACAAAACUUGAAGAUCCAGUAGAAGCUUACAUACGAGAGCCUUCUUACUUCUGAGAUUCCACAUCGGUUGGAGAGGGGAACGAAACAUUCUUUAUAAGGGUGUGGAAAUCUUUCCCCAACAGACACGUUUUAAAACCUCAAGGGGAAGCCUGGAAAAGAAAGGCCGAAGAGGACAAUAUCUAUUAGCGGUGGGCUUGGGCCAUUACAUUACGGUAUGUAUCAUGGAUCAACUAAGAACAACUUUUUCGUGAAAUAGCGCAGCUACGAAUCCUAUCAGCAAUGCGAUAUUUGAGGAAAUGGAAGAAGCUUACAGAAAAUCAGAGACAAAAAAUGAAAUUAUCGGAAAGGAGUAGAAUGAUAUGAAUGUAGAUCACAAAAUAUUAUUUGAUCUUCUGAAUGGAGCACUUACGAUUGUACUUGCACCAAGUUUCACAUUGUGUGGAUUUAGAAGAAAAGUUAUUAACUCCUCUUUGCCACCGCUGCCUUUGUUUGAAAAAAAAUCUAUUGGAUUCUGUAUGGGACAACAUCCGCAAGUUUAUGCACUCUCCAACUGAUAGAUUUAAAUUCAACACCAUGGUCAUCAUUAAUGGAUGAUGAGGUUUACACAACUGGAAGGGAGGUUGAAGGUCUGAUCAUCAAGGAAUUGAUCGAAGGAGUUGUGAAGGAUUUGCAGAAAUGAUGCUGCAGACUGCAGAGUCUUAAUUCUCAGGCCACUGACCUCGUGCUACUACUUGGAGUGGACACAAAUUGCAUAGAAAUCAAAUAUUGAGGAUACCGUACUUGAUAUUCACUUGAACUAUACUUUCUUUUCUUUCUUUCUUUUUUUUCUUUCUUGUGUUACUUUUACAUGCAUAUGUUCUGUGUUACUUUUACAUGCAUAUGUUCUUAUUGGAUUUGUUUAAUGCAGAAUGGCUCUUCCGAAGAUCUGUUAUAGCCCAAACUCAUUGCUAGCACUUUGGCUCGUUACAUAUCGCUGUCAGUCUCAUGGUUUUAAAAUGUGUUUGCAAGAUAGAGGUUUUCACACCCUUAUAAAGAAUAAAUAAUUUUUUGUUCCCCUCUCCACCACAAUCCACCCUCUUGGGGGGCCAGCGUCUUUGCUGGCACACCACCCGGUGUCUUGCGCUGACACCAUUUGUCAACAGUCAAGCCCAUUGCUAGCAGAUAUUGUCUACUUUUGUUCAUUACGUAUUGCCGUCAUGCUAGAGAGAGGUUUUCAACUCCCUUAUAAGCAAUAUUUUGUUCUACUCUCCCACCGAUUUUGUGCACGACUCUUGCCUUUGUCAGUCUCUUGUAAUAUCCAGUGUUGCCGCUAGUUCAAUGUUCAAUUGCUGCUGACAAAAGGACAAGAAGACCAUCAAUCUCUGACACAAAUGAAAAUCACCCUCCUCCUUCACUGUCAAAAGCUGCAGAAUUUCCGACAUCUUCUUUUUUUUUUUUUUAAUCUCCGCCGUGAUGUCCACCGCCGGCUGCCGUAACAGACAACACAAACUUUCAGAAUAACACGUCAAAUUGUCCAAUCCUGACUGGACCGGCGGGUGCUCUCAGGGUGGGACAGUGCCAGAGCUAACUCAGACUGGUCACCUCUCCUCCACCGGUCCCUCCGGUUGCCCUUUCCCUCUCUAAAUUUCACCCUCAAUUACCCUCCAAAUUAAAUUGUCCUUAAUUCCUUUUCAAUUAAGAUCCGAAUAUUUACCAUAAAGGG